rnacentral:rRNA from 1 species
GUACCGCGGCUGCUGGCACGGAGUUAGCCGGUGCUUCUUCUGAGGGUAACGUCAGGGCUAAGUGGUAUUAACACUCAACUUUUCCUCCCCUCUGAAAGUGCUUUACAACCCUAGAGCCUUCUUCACACACGCGGCAUGGCUGCAUCAGGCUUUCGCCCAUUGUGCAAUAUUCCCCACUGCUGCCUCCCGUAGGAGUUCGGGCCGUGUCUCAGUCCCGAUGUGGCUGAUCAUCCUCUCAGACCAGCUAGAGAUCGUCGCCUUGGUGAGCCUUUACAUCACCAACUAGCUAAUCUCACGCAGGCUCAUCGAAUAGCGAGAGCUCAAAGAGCCCCCUUUCCCCCGUAGGGCGUAUGCGGUAUUAGCAUGCGUUUCCACAUGUUGUCCCCCACUACUCGGUAGAUUCCUACGCGUUACUCACCCGUCCGCCGCUCUACUCACACCGAAGUGCUUUCUCGCUCGACUUGCAUGUGUUAGGCCUGCCGCCAGCGUUCAAUCUGAGCCAUGAUCAAACUC